GACAGAGGGUGCAAACGUUGUUCGGAAUUACUGGGCGUAAAGCGCGUGUAGGCGGCCAACUAAGUCGGGCGUGAAAUCCCACGGCUCAACCGUGGAAGUGCACUCGAAACUGGAUGGCUAGAGUCCUGGAGAGGAAGGUGGAAUGCUUGGUGUAGAGGUGAAAUUCGUAGAUAUCAAGCGGAACACCGGUGGCGAAGGCGGCCUUCUGGGACAGUGACUGACGCUGAGACG
rnacentral:rRNA from 1 species